ensembl:lncRNA
CAGAGUCAAUCUAAAGUCCUAUUAUUUCUUCAAGUAAAAUAUAAUAUUGCUAGAUUAGUUGUCAUUAAAUUUAUUAUAUGCUAAAGAAUAAAAAUCCAGUUAGAUAAAAUGUUAUUUUCCCAUUUACAAGCCUUGCACCUUUAAGAAGAAAACAAAUAAGACAAAAUGGUAGCUAUACUUGUGAUGUCUGACAGCAUGAUGGCCUAGGGGUUUACAAAUAAUAUCUGGAAUUUAUUUUUAAGCAAUGAGAAUGGUUGAGUACAACAUCAUGUAUUAAUAUCAAAUGAAAGAUAAGGGUGCUGUAUCUUAGAUUAUUUAUCAAAAAAGUAUCAAUCUUUUAAGGACAAUGUUAGAAAUUUUAAGUUGUUUAUUUUUGAUUGUUGAAGCAUUUAUCUUGUUGAUUUCUUACAAAAGAAAAAGGACGAUGUCAGUCAAGCAGCACUUUUUCAAAAUAUACAGAACAUAAAUAAUAUGAUGUGGUUGAGUGUUAACAUAAUAAAUCAUAUACAGUAUGACAUUUUAAGGAAAUAAGUCUGCAUUGAUGUGAUUGCAUGCUUGUUUUUACAGUUCACUCCAUACCAUCUGUGGAAAAAUGCAAUAAUAUGUUAAUAUAGUAUGGUAGUUUGAGAGAAUCAGGUAGGUGCUACUAGACACAUUGAAACUAGAAUAGGUUUAUAAACUUCAUAACCCUCAAUGCAUAAUCGUUAGCAAGACUCCACAAAACAAAAUUCAUCCUGUUAGUGCAAAAUGGAAGGUUCUUAUUGCUGAAAUAAAUUGUGUAAACUGUAUCAUCAAUUACUAUUUAAAGCUUAAUUUCAGGAUGCACUUACAAAAUUGCUACUUUUCAUUGAUGCUGUAUCCCUCUUCAUUUCAUCUAUAUUCUACUUGGCUCCAACCGCUAAAUUGUUGCCUAAAUAACUCAGUCAUUAUUUAUAGCACUGUAAAAUUAGAAAUCCAAAAUUGGUUGCAUUUCAAGAAUUUUGACAGAUUUAACCCUUCAGAAUAAUGCAAAGUCUCAUUAUAACUCUUAAAAACUAAAUAAAUUAACAUUCAUAGGCUUUAAUAAAAUAUUUUCAGCUAAAUAUAGUUCAAUAGUUCAAUUUGAAUUAAAUGUCAUUUUCUGUGACAAGAUAAAAUAAUUAGCAAUGGAGUUGCACUUUUCUAUCUUUAAAAAACAUUUGAUUUCAUUAAACAAGGAAAUAAAUUAUAAAAAAUAAUCUAUUCCAACAAAUUAGAAAAAAAUUAUGUAAGAUAUCUAAAUGGGACCUAUGUAAAUUUUGAAGUCUAAAAUGCACACACUUGUAUGCACAUCGAGCCACUUUCUGUCUCUUAAUGGAGCAUAGUGUCUGGAGGACUCAGUGGAAGAAGUCUGUGCACUCACACUCCUAGUAGAAUAUGGAGCAUUAUUCUUUACCAAAAGUAGCUAUUCUCUGCCAGUGUACUGUUUAUAGUGUAAAUUGAUUGUCCUCCAUCAAAAAAAAUCUAAACAGCAUUCUUCUUUUCCUCUUUUCCAUUUUUUGAGUGUACUCUGUAGAAUAAUAAUCUAAAUUAGAAGAAAAGGAGAAGUAUGUGAUUGCAAGAGUAAAAACAGAGAGCAUGAGUAUUGAUGUGUGUGUUUGAGUGUAUGUGUGUAAGUGUGUGUGUGUGUGUAUGUGUAUGAGACAGAGAGAAAAGACACACAGAGAGAGAUUUCAACUUGUUUUCUUUUACUAGAAAAAUUCAAGAAGUAGUUUAGGCAAACUGAUACUGGAGUUUAAUCUAGAAACUGGAUGAUCUCAUAUUAAUUCAUGAUUCUUAAUCUUUCUUUGAUACUCCACAAUUAAAAUAACAAAGAGAGAAAGAAAACGUAACUUUCCUGAUAAUGACAAAGAAGUCAGCGCCUCAUUUCUUUUAUUUCUUUGUAAAAAUAUAAAUAUCUCAAUGAAAAGACAGGCUCACUUGUAAUUAUGUACUCAUGAUUGUAACAGCAUUGAGAUUCCAUAUAGGCACAUGUACAGCAGCUGUUUGACAGUGAUGGCUCUUCCAUGUAACAUAGAAGUUAUCGUGUAAUUUAGUGCCACUUAUUGCAAAGUGUUACCAAAGGGAACACUAAAAAUGCUUUUUCUUUUUUCUUUGGACCUAAGGAUAAUUUAAUGGAUUACAAAUAUAAAAUUUCACAUUGUUUUUUAAUUGUGGAGAAAAUGCAAACUUCAUAACUUACUACGACUUUCCCGUGACAGUUAAAAUUACUUAGAACUUUUGAAAUCUACCCAAUAUUUUUUCCUUUUGCAAGUGGUAAUCUGUGAUGAAUACACACAAAAAUACAAAAAUUUAACCAAUAAUCACAGCUGAAACAAAUAAAAUAAAACACCUAGUAAGAAGUACUGAUGAGUAAUGCUUUUGUUAAGUGGCACAAAGUACACACUAAAAACUAUGCAAAAUAUAGGUAACUACAGUGUACGUACAUGUAAGUAUCUUGUACUUGCUGUGUAUGGAUGUUGGAAACCCAUGUAAUUAUAAUAUGCAUUUUGAAUACUGGGAAAGAGGAAAUCUUAGUGUAGAUAACAUAAUUUGUUUUGAAAUAUACACUGGCAAUAUUGAAAAAUACUCAGUGCAAUAUCUGCAAUUUUAUUGCUGGAUACUUAAUGCAAAGGGAUUUUUAAAAAUUCUUAGACAAGAUCCAAGAGAUUGCUAAUCUUCACCUCUCACAUAUUAAAGGAUUAAUAAAAAACGCAACUAGUUCAACAAGUUUAAGGUUUUUUAAAAUAUUAAUGUAAGCCAAUAAAAUUAUUAUUUCAUUUAGUUCUUAGCAUGACUGCAGAGAAAACCUGAGUUUUAAUCUUUGAUUCACAUCUAAUUGACUUUGAAAUUCUUAAACUAUCUUUAAAAUGUGUUUUUAAUAUAUUUCAGUUCUUUUUAUAAGUAUGCAUUUAUUCAAUCAAUCAAUGAACAUAGAGUACAUUUAAUAGUUAAAGUCACUAUAUCUUAAUAACAAUUCUUUAUCUUUUCUUUUUCGUUUCUACUUUUUGUUUUCCUUUUACUCCCUGUUCCACCCCAAACAUGCCCUUUGCACUUAACCCUUCCAAAGGCAAUGGAUUGAAAGUAGCAAGAUAAUAAAGAGAGUUAAAGGGAACAACAUAAAUAUGGGUUCUAUAAUCAUCAGCAUUUUUAUGUAUUGAGAUUAUUAAUAUUGAAUGCAAUAGUUAUUGGAUAUAGCUGGUAAUUUCUCUGCCAUGCAUACUUACAAUAAUCCUUCUACCUCUCACUUUUAACAUGGGCUAUGAUACUUCAGUAUAAAUAGAGGAAACAAUAACUUACAAGAUAUCCCAGGAAGCAUUACUUUGGGACUUUCAUAACAGUGCACACCCUAUCACUGGGAAAUCUCAAAAGCCAACUUCUUGUAGUAUAUUCUAUGGUGUUUGGGUCUAUGUUUGUUUUCCUUUUUUAUCAUUAAUUUUUCCUAUAGGUAAAAUAUGAUAACAUGAUAAGGAUAGUUCUUCUCAUGCCUAUUUAACAUUCCACUGUAAUAUAAUUGUAAUUUUAAAAAUAAUUUCAAUGGCAAUACUUUGUAAUCUCAUCUACUUCAAUUAAUUUUUAAAAUGUAGUAAUUUCUUAUAAAUUAAGUCAAGUUUUAAAUAAAAAUCAUUCAUAUGAUGAUAUAUUUUGCUGAGAGGUAUUAUCAAUGAGACAAAAAUUUAAGUAUUUAAAACUGCCUCCUUGCUAUCAAAUAAUGCUAAAUAAUGCAAAGUAUUGCCACAGAUACCCAGUUUAUUUUGUCUGCAUAGGCAUAAUAUAAAAUUUUCAACGAUGUAAUUUAUACUAAAAGAAAAUGCCAUUUAUGAGCAUAUUUUCCUCUAGGAAAAAAGGCUAUAUUAAUUAAAUUAUGAUGGUGAAUCUAUAAAAUAUGCUUAAAGUUAAAGUAAGAUGUUUCUAUGUUAUGUGGUUAUAAUACAAAUAAUAUUGGUGUAAUCUUUACCUUCUUUUUCAUAUUUAUAGAAUUUUGGAGAGAAUGGGCCCCAAUGUGAAAAAGGUGUAAAGAAAAAAGUCCUUAUUUUCCCCCUCUGAUAUAUGCUGUACAUUUCAAAAGAAGUAAAGUUAAAAGAUAUUUGAAGAUUGCAGGGGCAAAAGAAAAACUUACCAGGGCUCAGCACUUAAGCACUUUUCCCACACCCAGGGUCAAAGCAGCAGUGAUUCCUACUUGGACUUUUAAGUGCAGUAUGAAAUGCAACAUUACUCUUACACACAGUACUGUCAAACCUCAAAUACUUCUUUCUCUUAGAUACUUUUCCUUGUACAUGAUACUAGUAGACACUUUUCUCUUUAUAUUUGCUGUUAGUGAAAGUCAUACGCAAUAAAAUAUUGAUGGUUGAAAGCAGUGGUCACUAAUUGGUUAAAAGACGUAUAAAAUGUAAACAGAAUUGUUAUAUCUUUAUCCUUCUUGCUUUUUUCUGUAUUUCUAAUGUGUUGAAUGAAUCUCAUAAAUAGAAAGAAAAAUGACCUAGAAAUUUUUAAAAACCAUAAUAUUUCUCCUUAUAAAUGUAUAAAAAUUUAAUCUUUUUACAAAUUUAUUUAACUGUACCUACUGUACUUAUUGUGGAUUCAAUGAUGCAGUUAAGUAGUAACCCAAGGACUUGUGAGUUUGGGAUUGCUGAUCUAUUUUCUUCAUAUUCAGUUCACAUCUAUAUUUGUGAAUUGGUUGUUUAGCUUUUCAUUCAACCAAAAAAUAUUCCCUUAAGAAAUCUCCAUUUUUAUCAUAAAUAUUUCAACGUAACUAGCCUUGGAACAAGUCUGCCAUGUUAAAAAGAAUUUAAAGACUUAUCUCUGAAAAUGGUACCGGGAAAUGCAGGUGCUCCCAGUAAUGUAGCUUCAAAAAUAAAAUGUUCUCUUUAUAUAACAUGAAAUUCAUAACUUUUGGAAGGGUAUUUUUAUGACAGCAUAAAGAUAGCUUCUGUGCUGUAAAAUGAUCCACCAAAAUUAAGCAUAUUUCACAUAAACACAAUUAUUGGAUCUGCUCUAGUCAUUAACAUUUUCAAAAAAACAAAAUGCAUAUUGUAAUAUUAGGUACAUGACACUUGCAUGUUGAUAUGCCUAUAUACUUACAAAGUAUUCAAUGUGUACUUAGUGGCUCUUAAAAUAUGUCAUGUACAACUCUUAUAAACAUUAUUACAGGGUUCCCAUUUGCACUUUAUCUUUCAGUACAGUCUUGUCAGAAAAAAAUUGUCUGAUAAUUAUGGAAAAAUAAAAUUUGAAUUUUAGUUAUUUGUUGG